AGGCAGCAGUAGGGAAUCUUCCACAAUGGGCGCAAGCCUGAUGGAGCAACACCGCGUGAGUGAAGAAGGGUUUCGGCUCGUAAAGCUCUGUUGUUAAAGAAGAACACGUAUGAGAGUAACUGUUCAUACGUUGACGGUAUUUAACCAGAAAGUCACGGCUAACUACGUGCCAGCAGCCGCGGUAAUACGUAGGUGGCAAGCGUUAUCCGGAUUUAUUGGGCGUAAAGAGAGUGCAGGCGGUUUUCUUAAGUCUGAUGUGAAAGCCUUCGGCUUAACCGGAGAAGUGCAUCGGAAACUGGAUAACUUGAGUGCAGAAGAGGGUAGUGGAACUCCAUGUGUAGCGGUGGAAUGCGUAGAUAUAUGGAAGAACACCAGUGGCGAAGGCGGCUACCUGGUCUGCAACUGACGCUGAGACUCGAAAGCAUGGGUAGCGAACAGGAUUAGAUACCCUGGUAG
rnacentral:rRNA from 1 species